rnacentral:rRNA from 1 species
UGGUGGGCGAACGGCCCACCAAGGCGACGAUCAGUAGCCGGACUGAGAGGUUGGCCGGCCACAUUGGGACUGAGACACGGCCCAGACUCCUACGGGAGGCAGCAG